rnacentral:rRNA from 1 species
UACGAAGGGAGCUAGCGUUGUUCGGAAUUACUGGGCGUAAAGCGCACGUAGGCGGCUUUGUAAGUUAGAGGUGAAAGCCCGGGGCUCAACUCCGGAAUUGCCUUUAAGACUGCAUCGCUAGAAUUGUGGAGAGGUAAGUGGAAUUCCGAGUGUAGAGGUGAAAUUCGUAGAUAUUCGGAAGAACACCAGUGGCGAAGGCGACUUACUGGACACAUAUUGACGCUGAGGUGCGAAAGCGUGGGGAGCAAACAGG